CUGGGCUAUUACUCACAAACCUACAGGUUUGUGAGUAAUAGCCCAGUUAGACU
ensembl:miRNA oni-mir-10846-1 oni-mir-10846-1